rnacentral:rRNA from 1 species
UGGCGGCCUGCUAUACAUGCAGUCGAGCGGACAGAAGGGAGCUUGCUCCCGGAUGUUAGCGGCGGACGGGUGAGUAACACGUGGGUAACCUGCCUGUAAGACUGGGAUAACUCCGGGAAACCGGAGCUAAUACCGGAUAGUUCCUUGAACCGCAUGGUUCAAGGAUGAAAGACGGUUUCGGCUGUCACUUACAGAUGGACCCGCGGCGCAUUAGCUAGUUGGUGGGGUAAUGGCUCACCAAGGCGACGAUGCGUAGCCGACCUGAGAGGGUGAUCGGCCACACUGGGACUGAGACACGGCCCAGACUCCUACGGGAGGCAGCAGUAGGGAAUCUUCCGCAAUGGACGAAAGUCUGACGGAGCAACGCCGCGUGAGUGAUGAAGGUUUUCGGAUCGUAAAGCUCUGUUGUUAGGGAAGAACAAGUGCGAGAGUAACUGCUCGCACCUUGACGGUACCUAACCAGAAAGCCACGGCUAACUACGUGCCAGCAGCCGCGGUAAUACGUAGGUGGCAAGCGUUGUCCGGAAUUAUUGGGCGUAAAGGGCUCGCAGGCGGUUUCUUAAGUCUGAUGUGAAAGCCCCCGGCUCAACCGGGGAGGGUCAUUGGAAACUGGGAAACUUGAGUGCAGAAGAGGAGAGUGGAAUUCCACGUGUA